rnacentral:rRNA from 1 species
AGUGAACGCUGGCGGUAGGCCUAACACGUGCAAGUCGAACGGCAGCACAGUAAGAGCUUGCUCUUACGGGUGGCGAGUGGCGGACGGCUGAGGAAUACAUCGGAAUCUACUUUUUCGUGGGGGAUAACGUAGGGAAACUUACGCUAAUACCGCAUACGACCUACGGGUGAAAGCAGGGGAUCUUCGGACCUUGCGCGAUUGAAUGAGCCGAUGUCGGAUUAGCUAGUUGGCGGGGUAAAGGCCCACCAAGGCGACGAUCCGUAGCUGGUCUGAGAGGAUGAUCAGCCACACUGGAACUGAGACACGGUCCAGACUCCUACGGGAGGCAGCAGUGGGGAAUAUUGGACAAUGGGCGCAAGCCUGAUCCAGCCAUGCCGCGUGGGUGAAGAAGGCCUUCGGGUUGUAAAGCCCUUUUGUUGGGAAAGAAAAGCAGCAGGUUAAUACCCCGCUGUUCUGACGGUACCCAAAGAAUAAGCACCGGCUAACUUCGUG